rnacentral:lncRNA from 1 species
AUAUUAAUGAAAGUAGGUUAAGCUAAUACAUAUAUUCCAACAUAAACUUGUUUAGUUCAUCAUUCUAACAAAAUAACAAAGAGAUUCUCAUAAACAUAUCAUUACAAACAUGAAGAACUAAAUGAAAGGAAUACGAAAGUUGAGAUAAAACCCUUUUAAAUACGAAUUGUAAUUCCUUCAAUGUAUUCUUCAAGCUUUCCUUAAUGAUCUCCUUGCUAUAUCCACUUGAUUCCCAAAAUAAAACUAAAAUU